GAUGAACGCUGGCGGCGUGCCUAAUACAUGCAAGUCGAGCGAACGGACGAGAAGCUUGCUUUUCUGAUGUUAGCGGCGGACGGGUGAGUAACACGUGGAUAACCUACCUAUAAGACUGGGAUCACUUCGGGAAACCGGAGCUAAUACCGGAUAAUAUUUUGAACCGCAUGGUUCAAAAGUGAAAGACGGUCUUGCUGUCACUUAUAGAUGGAUCCGCGCUGCAUUAGCUAGUUGGUAAGGUAACGGCUUACCAAGGCAACGAUGCAUAGCCGACCUGAGAGGGUGAUCGGCCACACUGGAACUGGGACACGGUCCAGGCUCCUACGGGAGGCAGCAGUAGGGAAUCUUCCGCAAUGGGCGAAAGCCUGACAGAGCAACGCCGCGUGAGUGAUAAAGGUCUUCGGAUCGUAAAACUCUGUUAUUAGGGAAGAACAUAUGUGUAAGUAACUGUGCACAUCUUGACGGUACCUAAUCAGAAAGCCACGGCUAACUACGUG
rnacentral:rRNA from 1 species